AGAGUUUGAUCCUGGCUCAGGAUGAACGCUAGCGGCAGGCCUAAUACAUGCAAGUCGAGCGGCAAGUUGAGUAGUAAUACUUGACCUAGAGCGGCGCACGGGUGCGUAACGCGUAUGCAACCUACCUUUUACUGGGGGAUAGCCCGGAGAAAUCUGGAUUAAUACCCCAUGGUACCUAGAGGUCGAAUGACUUUUAGUUUAAAGAUUUAUCGGUAAGAGAUGGGCAUGCGUCUGAUUAGCUAGUUGGGGGGGUAACGGCCCACCAAGGCGACGAUCAGUAGGGGUUCUGAGAGGAAGGUCCCCCACACUGGCACUGAGAUACGGGCCAGACUCCUACGGGAGGCAGCAGUAGGGAAUAUUGGGCAAUGGUCGCAAGACUGACCCAGCCAUGCCGCGUGCAGGAAGACGGCCCUCUGGGUUGUAAACUGCUUUUAUCUGGGAAGAAAAAGUCCAUGCGUGGAAAAUUGCCGGUACCAGAUGAAUAAGCACCGGCUAACUCCGUGCCAGCAGCCGCGGUAAUACGGAGGGUGCAAGCGUUGUCCGGAUUUAUUGGGUUUAAAGGGUGCGUAGGCGGCUUAUUAAGUCAGUGGUGAAAGACGGUAGCUUAACUAUCG
rnacentral:rRNA from 1 species